rnacentral:ncRNA from 1 species
ACGAGUCUAUAGCCUUGGCCGACAGGCCCGGGUAAUCUUUGAAAUUUCAUCGUGAUGGGGAUAGAUCAUUGCAACUGUUGGUCUUCAACGAGGAAUUCCUAGUAAGCGCGAGUCAUCAGCUCGCAUUGACUACGUCCCUGCCCUUUGUCCACACCGCCCGUCGCUCCUACCGAUUGAAUGGUUCAGUGAAGUGUUCGGAUCGCAGCAACGUGGGCGGUUCGCUGCCCGCGACGUCGCGAGAAGUCUACUGAACCUUAUCAUUUAGAGGAAAGAGAAGUCGUAACAAGGUUUCCGUAGGUGAACCUGCGGAAGGAUCAUUA